GUUAAAGAUGGGCAUGCGUUGUAUUAGCUAGUUGGUGAGGUAACGGCUCACCAAGGCAACGAUACAUAGGGGGACUGAGAGGUUAACCCCCCACAUUGGUACUGAGACACGGACCAAACUCCUACGGGAGGCAGCAGUGAGGAAUAUUGGUCAAUGGACGCAAGUCUGAACCAGCCAUGCCGCGUGCAGGAAGACGGCUCUAUGAGUUGUAAACUGCUUUUGUACUAGGGUAAACGCUUCUACGUGUAGGAGCCUGAAAGUAUAGUACGAAUAAGGAUCGGCUAACUCCGUGCCAGCAGCCGCGGUAAUACGGAGGAUCCAAGCGUUAUCCGGAUUUAUUGGGUUUAAAGGGUGCGUAGGCGGUUUGAUAAGUUAGAGGUGAAAUACCGGGGCUCAACUCCGGAACUGCCUCUAAUACUGUUGAACUAGAGAGUAGUUGCGGUAGGCGGAAUGUAUGGUGUAGCGGUGAAAUGCUUAGAGAUCAUACAGAACACCGAUUGCGAAGGCAGCUUACCAAACUAUAUCUGACGUUGAGGCACGAAAGCGUGGGGAGCAAACAGGAUUAGAUACCCUGGUAGUCCACGCAGUAAACGAUGGUAACUCGUUGUCGGCGAUACACAGUCGGUGACUAAGCGAAAGCGAUAAGUUAUCCACCUGGGGAGUACGUUCGCAAGAAUGAAACUCAAAGGAAUUGACGGGGGCCCGCACAAGCGGAGGAACAUGUGGUUUAAUUCGAUGAUACGCGAGGAACCUUACCCGGGCUUGAAAGUUAGUGACGAUUCUGGAAACAGGAUUUCCCUUCGGGGCACGAAACUAGGUGCUGCAUGGUUGUCGUCAGCUCGUGCCGUGAGGUGUCGGGUUAAGUCCCAUAACGAGCGCAACCCCUACCGUUAGUUGCCAUCAGGUCAAGCUGGGCACUCUGGCGGGACUGCCGGUGUAAGCCGAGAGGAAGGUGGGGAUGACGUCAAAUCAGCACGGCCCUUACGUCCGGGGCUACACACGUGUUACAAUGGUAGGUACAGAGGGCCGCUACCCCGCGAGGGGAUGCCAAUCUCGAAAGCCUAUCUCAGUUCGGAUCGGAGGCUGAAACCCGCCUCCGUGAAGUUGGAUUCGCUAGUAAUCGCGCAUCAGCCAUGGCGCGGUGAAUACGUUCCCGGGCCUUGCACA
rnacentral:rRNA from 1 species